GACGAACGCUGGCGGCGUGCCUAAUACAUGCAAGUAGGACGCAGUUGCGAACGGGUGAGUAACGCGUAGGUCACUCCCUAUUCGAGGGGGAUAACUAUUGGAAACGAUAGCUAAUACCGCAUACUAGUAGAUGGACCUGCUUUGUAUUGGCUAGUAGGUAGGGUAAUGGCCUACCUAGGCAACGAUACAUAGCCGAGCGGAGGAGGGGAUCGGCCACACGGGGACUGGGGCACGGCCCAGACUCCUAAGGGAGGCAGCAGUAGGGAAACUUCGGGAAUGGGGGGAACGCUGACCGGGCAACGCCGCGGGGGGGAAGAAGGUUUUCGGGUCGGAAAGCUCUGUUGUUAAGGAAGCGGUACUUAACCAGAAAGGGACGGCUAACUACGUGCCAGCAGCCGCGGUAAUUC
rnacentral:rRNA from 1 species